CAGCAGCCGCCGCGGUAAUACGUAGGGCGCAAGCGUUAUCCGGAAUUAUUGGGCGUAAAGAGCUCGUAGGCGGUUUGUCGCGUCUGCCGUGAAAGUCCGGGGCUCAACCCCGGAUCUGCGGUGGGUACGGGCAGACUAGAGUGAUGUAGGGGAGACUGGAAUUCCUGGUGUAGCGGUGAAAUGCGCAGAUAUCAGGAGGAACACCGAUGGCGAAGGCAGGUCUCUGGGCAUUAACUGACGCUGAGGAGCGAAAGCAUGGGGAGCGAACAGGAUUAGAUACCCGCGUAGUCCCUGUCUCUUAUAC
rnacentral:rRNA from 1 species